rnacentral:tmRNA from 1 species
GAUACCGCCGUUAUCGGGUCACAAGUGUAGUUGCAAACGACAACAACGCUAAGGAAUACGCUCUCGCUGCCUAAUGGCGGUGCGGGAAUUCCGCUCUAAGCCCUCUCGGUUAGCCCCUUGAGGCGGGGUUCGGAGGUACCUGGCAACAGAAACCUCCACC